AUGAUAAGAGAUUUCUGGUGGGGAGACGAGGAUGGACACAGGAAGGUUCACUGGAUGUCGUGGGACCGUAUGACUAAACCGAAAAGGGGUGGGGGUAUUGGCUUCAAAGAUAUGCAUCUCUUUAACCAGGCACUCCUCGCAAAGCAAGGGUGGAGACUGAUCCAGAACCCUAACAACCUCUGCGCAAGAGUGCUUAAGUCAAAGUACUACCCUAAUGGAAAUUUCCUAGACACCGUCUAUGCAUCAGACGUUUCACCGGUGUGGAGGGGCAUUGAGUUUGGAUUGCAACUUUUGAAGAAGGGGAUAAUUUGGAGGGUCGGAGAUGGAAAAAGUAUACAAAUCCAGCGAGAUCAGUGGCUGCCUAGAAGGGAGGGCCUCAUGACGGCUGCAUUCAUAAGGAGGUCCAGGCUCCGUUGGGUAAAUCAACUCAUGAUCCCGGAUAGGAAUGAGUGGAACGUUGACCUCAUCCGCCAGAUCUUCUAUCCUUUCGAUGCCGACGAGAUAUGCAAACUCCCGAUCCCAAGCUCAAAUGUGAGCGACCAACUUGCCUGGCACUAUGAAAGGAACAGAGCCUUCACAGUUAAGAGCGCGUACAAGUUAGCCGCAAAACUUGCUCAAUAG
rnacentral:rRNA from 1 species